rnacentral:rRNA from 1 species
GAUGAACGCUGGCGGCGUGCCUAACACAUGCAAGUCGAGCGAACGGACGAGAAGCUUGCUCUUCUGAUGUUAGCGGCGGACGGGUGAGUAACACGUGGAUAACCUACCUAUAAGACUGGGAUAACUUCGGCAAACCGGAGCUAAUACCGGAUAAUAUUUUGAACCGCAUGGUUCAAAAGUGAAAGACGGUCUUUGUGUCACUUAUAGAUGCAUCCGCGCUGCAUUAGCUAGUUGGUAAGGUAACGGCUUACCAAGGCUACGAUGCAUAGCCGACCUGAGAGGGUGAUCGGCCACACUGGAACUGAGACACGGUCCAGACUCCUACGGGAGGCAGCAGUAGGGAAUCUUCCGCAAUGGGCGAAAGCCUGACGGAGCAACGCCGCGUGAGUGAUGAAGGUCUUCGGAUCGUAAAACUCUGUUAUUAGGGAAGAACAUAUGUGUAAGUAACUGUGCACAUCUUGACGGUACCUAAUCAGAAAGCCACGGCUAACUACGUG